UGGCGAACGGGUGAGUAACACGUGGGGCAACCUGCCAAAAGAGGGGGAUAACACUUGGAAACAGGUGCUAAUACCGCAUAACCAUAGUUACCGCAUGGUAACUAUGUAAAAGGUGGCUAUGCUACCGCUUUUGGAUGGGCCCGCGGCGCAUUAGCUAGUUGGUGGGGUAAAGGCUUACCAAGGCAAUGAUGCGUAGCCGAACUGAGAGGUUGAUCGGCCACAUUGGGACUGAGACACGGCCCAAACUCCUACGGAAGGCAGCAG
rnacentral:rRNA from 1 species